CUCCUUUGAGCCACAGGUGCUGCCCGGUUAAUAUUAUUUUAAAAUGUUCCAUUGCAGUGGAGAGAGAGAAAAGUUCUCUUCAGGAUGUCAGGUUGGCCUUACGCUGGCCAGUCUUUCCUUGAGGGGUCCAACAGAG